GACGAAGGGGGCUAGCGUUGUUCGGAAUUACUGGGCGUAAAGCGAGUGUAGGCGGUUGUUCAAGUCAGGUGUGAAAGCCUUGAGCUCAACUCAAGAAAUGCACUUGAUACUGGAUGACUAGAGGACCGGAGAGGAUAGUGGAAUUCCCAGUGUAGUGGUGAAAUACGUAGAGAUUGGGAAGAACACCAGUGGCGAAGGCGGCUCACUGGUCCGGUACUGACGCUGAGGUGCGAAAGCGUGGGGAGCAAACAGG
rnacentral:rRNA from 1 species